rnacentral:rRNA from 1 species
GAUGAACGCUGACAGAAUGCUUAACACAUGCAAGUCAACUUGAAUUUGGGUUUUUAACUUAGGUUUGGGUGGCGGACGGGUGAGUAACGCGUAAAGAACUUGCCUCACAGCUAGGGACAACAUUUGGAAACGAAUGCUAAUACCUAAUAUUAUGAUAAUAGGGCAUCCUAUAAUUAUGAAAGCUAUAAGCGCUGUGAGAGAGCUUUGCGUCCCAUUAGCUAGUUGGAGAGGUAACGGCUCACCAAGGCGAUGAUGGGUAGCCGGCCUGAGAGGGUGAUCGGCCACAAGGGGACUGAGACACGGCCCUUACUCCUACGGGAGGCAACAGUGGGGAAUAUUGGACAAUGGACCAAGAGUCUGAUCCAGCAAUUCUGUGUGCACGAUGAAGUUUUUCGGAAUAUAAAGUGCUUUCAGUUGGGAAGAAAGAAAUGACGGUACCAACAGAAGAAGUGACGGCUAAAUACGUG